CACGAAGGGGGCUAGCGUUGCUCGGAAUGACUGGGCGUAAAGGGCGCGUAGGCGGAAUGCUUUGUCGGGCGUGAAAUUCCAGGGCUUAACCUUGGGGCUGCGUUCGAGACGGGUAUUCUUGAGUUUGGAAGAGGGUCGUGGAAUUCCCAGUGUAGAGGUGAAAUUCGUAGAUAUUGGGAAGAACACCGAUGGCGAAGGCGGCGACCUGGUCCAAGACUGACGCUGAGGCGCGAAAGCGUGGGGAG
rnacentral:rRNA from 1 species